rnacentral:rRNA from 1 species
UACGUAGGGUGCAAGCGUUAAUCGGAAUUACUGGGCGUAAAGGGUCUGUAGGUGGCCAACUAAGUCAGACGUGAAAUCCCUCAGCUUAACUGGGGAACUGCGUCUGAUACUGGUUGGCUUGAGUGCAGGAGAGGAAUGCGGAAUUCCAGGUGUAGCGGUGAAAUGCGUAGAUAUCUGGAGGAACACCGGUGGCGAAGGCGGCAUUCUGGACUGCAACUGACACUGAAAGACGAAAGCCAGGGGAGCAAACGGG